GACGAACGCUGGCGGCGUGCUUAACACAUGCAAGUCGAGCGGUAAGGCCCUUUCGGGGGUACGACGAGCGGCGAACGGGUGAGUAACACGUGGGUGACCUGCCCUCAGCUCUGGGAUAAGCCUGGGAAACCGGGUCUAAUACUGGAUAUGACUCCAUGACGCAUGUUGUGGGGUGGAAAGCCUUGUGCGGCUGAGGAUGGGCCCGCGGCCUAUCAGCUUGUUGGUGGGGUGAUGGCCUACCAAGGCGACGACGGGUAGCCGGCCUGAGAGGGCGACCGGCCGACACUGGGACUGAGACACGGCCCAGACUCCUACGGGAGGCAGCAGUGGGGAAUCUUGCGCAAUGGGCGAAAGCCUGACGCAGCGACGCCGCGUGAGGGAUGACGGCCU
rnacentral:rRNA from 1 species